rnacentral:rRNA from 1 species
GGGUAUCCCUGAGGGUAUAUUUCUCUGAGUAUCGUUUCAACACAAUCUCGUCUGCGUACUGUUUUACUUUCGGGUAAAUGUGUGCGCAUGACGGUGAAUGAGCUGUCUCGGCGUCAAGUCGAGUCGCUUGAAACGAAGCAUUUUGCAGUCGACUACGUUCUGUACUUUACUGUGCAGGCUAGUUGAUGUUUGAUAAGUGACUCCGGUCAUCAUAUCUAUCACAUCAACUGGUAAGUGGUUUUGUACGGCAAAUGUCACAAGGAACUCCAAAGAAAAGAGGCUUAAUCGCUUUCUGUCUUUGAUCUUGAUCUCAGAUGAAGUAAGAGAACCCGCCGAAUUUAAGCAUAUUAUUAAGCGGAGGAAAAGAAACUAACAAGGAUUCCCCUAGUAACGGCGAGUGAAGCGGGAAAAGCUCAAAGUUAAAAUCGGUGUACCUAGCGGUAUUUCCGAAUUGUAAUCUAGAGACACUCAGUCAGCUUCGACCCGGGUAUAAAUCUUUUGAAACAAGGUGUCAUAGAGGGUGAGAAUCCCGUCUUUGACCCGGAGUUCGUGGCGUACGAU